GAUGAACGCUGACCGAAUGCUUAACACAUGCAAGUCUACUUGAACUUCGGUUUGGGUGGCGGACGGGUGAGUAACGCGUAAAGAACUUGCCUCACAGUUAGGGACAACAUUUGGAAACGAAUGCUAAUACCUGAUAUUAUGAUUUUAGGGCAUCCUAAAAUUAUGAAAGCUAUAUGCGCUGUGAGAGAGCUUUGCGUCCCAUUAGCUAGUUGGAGAGGUAACGGCUCACCAAGGCGAUGAUGGGUAGCCGGCCUGAGAGGGUGAACGGCCACAAGGGGACUGAGACACGGCCCUUACUCCUACGGGAGGCAGCAGUGGGGAAUAUUGGACAAUGGACCAAAAGUCUGAUCCAGCAAUUCUGUGUGCACGAUGACGUUUUUCGGAAUGUAAAGUGCUUUCAGUUGGGAAGAAAAAAAUGACGGUACCAACAGAAGAAGAGACGGCUAAAUACGUG
rnacentral:rRNA from 1 species